rfam:Schistosoma haematobium scaffold1153_3, whole genome shotgun sequence.
AGUUUCCUGAAUCCGAGCCGAAAUUUCCUCAAAUACCUGCUUAUCAGCACUGAUGAAACUUUCAAGAUAAGUGAGGCG